rnacentral:rRNA from 1 species
GAUGAACGCUGGCGGCGUGCUUAACACAUGCAAGUCGAGCGGGAAAUAUUUCAUUGAGACUUCGGUGGAUUUGAUUUAUUUCUAGUGGCGGACGGGUGAGUAACGCGUGGGUAACCUGCCUUAUACAGGGGGAUAACAGUCAGAAAUGGCUGCUAAUACCGCAUAAGCGCACAGAGCUGCAUGGCUCAGUGUGAAAAACUCCGGUGGUAUAAGAUGGACCCGCGUUGGAUUAGCUAGUUGGUGGGGUAACGGCCCACCAAGGCGACGAUCCAUAGCCGGCCUGAGAGGGUGAACGGCCACAUUGGGACUGAGACACGGCCCAGACUCCUACGGGAGGCAGCAGUGGGGAAUAUUGCACAAUGGGGGAAACCCUGAUGCAGCGACGCCGCGUGAAGGAAGAAGUAUCUCGGUAUGUAAACUUCUAUCAGCAGGGAAGAUAGUGACGGUACCUGACUAAGAAGCCCCGGCUAACUACGUG